CUACGGGUGGCAGCAGUGGGGAAUAUUGCACAAUGGAGGAAACUCUGAUGCAGCAACGCCGCGUGGAGGAUGACACUUUUCGGAGCGUAAACUCCUUUUAUAUAGGAAGAUAAUGACGGUACUAUAUGAAUAAGCACCGGCUAACUCCGUGCCAGCAGCCGCGGUAAUACGGAGGGUGCAAGCGUUACUCGGAAUCACUGGGCGUAAAGAGCGUGUAGGCGGAUUAAUAAGUCAGAUGUGAAAGCCAAUGGCUCAACCAUUGAACUGCAUUUGAAACUGUUAAUCUAGAAUAUGGGAGAGGUAGAUGGAAUUUCUGGUGUAGGGGUAAAAUCCGUAGAGAUCAGAAGGAAUACCGAUUGCGAAGGCGAUCUACUGGAACAUUAUUGACGCUGAGACGCGAAAGCGUGGGGAGCAAACAGGAUUAGAUACCCUCGUAGUC
rnacentral:rRNA from 1 species